UUAAAUGCGGGUGGCCAGAGAGGGUGCUCGGUCGAUAUUAAUCUCAUUCUCAUCCGAUCCCCAUUUCGACGCAGGAGGGAAGGAAAUCUAGCGUACUGUUCACCAGAUCCACAAAUCCGGACAGAGGGAGAGUUAGUCGUCGAUGAUGGCGAGCCAGAACCUAGGAGACAUUCCGCCGGUGCUGCCAAUCGUGGGUUGCCCGGACUGCGGCAAGAAGGUAGUCACGUACGGUAGCUCGCCGCGGGCAGCAUGUGGGCGAGCGCUUCUACAAGUGCCGCUACCACAAUCCAUCAGCAGGGGGAUGUGAUUUCUACAGGUGGCAAGAAGCGUACGCCGAGCACCUCGCAUCAAAUCCACAGGCGCAGAUCCAGGCGGCGCAAGUUGGUCAAGGUGCGCAGGCGCCGGUCGGGGCGGAGGGGCACCAGAACGUGGCGCCGGGGGGAUCUCAGUUUGGCUCGUCGGCAAGCGGAGAGCUGUUUUUUGCUGCUUGUAAAUGCCAUAUAUGUGGUAGAUAGGAGAUGGAUGGUCCAGAAGAAAAUGUGAUUAGACUCUAAAAGGUGCGGUGAUUUCUUCUUUUUCUAGGAGAUGGACCAAAUGUGGUGGUUGGGACCUUGCAUGAUUCUCAAGGCUCUGUCCGAAACCAAUUUCCCAGGAAUACAGAUUGUAGUAGUCAUAUGCUUCUCCGAGAGAACCAAAGCUGUCGCCGACAGCAGGAACUACAAUUCUCUUCUUCUCUGCGUAGCAUCUCAACGUUUUUUCAAGUGCGCUUAUUCUGUCCGCGCAUGGAGGACGCUCAAGAGGGGCUCGGCCAAUACGUACUCUGCAACACCCACACAUGGAGCAUCAGUAUGCUACCACCCUGUUUUGUGAACUUUUGAAAUUGCAAGCGUAAUUCGGUUUUUUCCGCCAGCAGCGUGAUACAUGCGCAGUUCUUUUUUUCAAAAUGAUGUGAAUAUUGCUUUCCAUAAUAAGUCCCAAUAUCAAUACCAUUUUGCCCAGCCAGAGGCUUGGCUUUCGUC